CAGUCGCCACGGUAAAACGAAGGGGGCUAGCGUUGUUCGGAAUUACUGGGCGUAAAGCGCACGUAGGCGGCUUGGUAAGUUAGAGGUGAAAGCCCAGGGCUCAACCCUGGAAUUGCCUUUAAGACUGCCGAGCUAGUAGGUGAGAGAUGUGAGUGGAAUUCCGAGUGUAGAGGUGAAAUUCGUAGAUAUUCGGAAGAACACCAGUGGCGAAGGCGGCUCACUGGCUCAUUCUAGACGCUGAGGUGCGAAAGCGUGGGGAGCAAACAGGAUUAGAGACCCCAGUAGUCCUGUCUCUUAUACC
rnacentral:rRNA from 1 species